AACCUUAUGGACCUGCGGGCGUAUACCUGCGGAGGGAUCAUUAUCAAAACAGCGGCCUUCGGGCCUUGCUGCACCCUUGUCUUUUGCGCACCGUAUUGUCUCCUCGGCGGGCUUGCCUGCCGGUUGGACAUUAUCAAACCUUUUUGUAGUUGCAAUCAGCGUCAGAAAAACAAUAAUUAUUACAACUUUUAACAAUGGAUCU
rnacentral:misc_RNA from 1 species